UCUAUUUUAUAUUAAAAUUUAAAUUUGAGUUUAAUGUCACGCCCCGGAAUACCGCAUUUCUCCGGGCACGCCAACAGACCCACCGUAUACAUAGGAAUUUUUCGUAUAUACGAAACGAUAGCUGUAUCUGAAUCAAAUCAUAGCUACAACUAGAAGUAUAGAGCUACUAAUAAAAACAUACAUACAUAAAUACCAAGGAUUCACUGUACAUAUAACAUCCAUGACU
rnacentral:lncRNA from 1 species